UUUAAAGAUGCCAGUUGUGUCAAUCAUUAUUUUUUGUUGGGAUUAUAUUUUCUCUUUUGGGAAUUUUUUACAUCUCUAUGCCUAUGAAUUUGGGCUUUGUUGAUACUAGCAAACAUGUUAUGAUUAUUAGGCCAGAAAUUCUGUGUUAUACAACACUCUACAGUGCUUUGAGUAGAAGCCACUCGGGUGUGACUUUCAAGACCUUUCUGUGUCAUGCUAUGUAUCUGCCAUAACAACAGAAUAAGAUACUCCAUCCAGCUGUGACUGUCAGCCACCUGGUAACUAAUGUAUUUUGUGGUGACUUUUACUGUCCCUGCCAUUUUAUAAAUAAUUGUCCUGCCUGUUGCCUUAAGCAAUUAAUAGCACAAAUUCUGAUACCCCAUGCCCCAUCAUGGUGACAAUCCACCAAUUCCAUCUGUGAAUGUAUGGACUCAGGAGAUAGUCUGUCAUCUCUUGGAUGAAGCAAUUACUGGUCAAUGUGUGUCAGCUGGAAGAUGAAGGGCUCUAUGCUCUGAAAGAGGUGAGUUUCAAUUCUCACACUGUCAUGUCAGUGAUUUUGGGGUGAAUGGCCACCUGAGGUCAAGAUGAUUUGCAUAGAAAAGUUAAUGGUGAUACAGUGCAGUGUGUAGAGGUCAGGGCAUGUGACUGGUGAUCAGCAUUUAGGGAGCUCAUGGGACAUGCACCUGGGAAUGGACUAAAAAAAGAAUAAACCUCCUUUCCAUUUCUCCAAGUCCUUCUGAAAUGCUUGUUUGGCAGUUGUUGAGAAGACAGAAGAAAAAGGCCCAGGUGGAGAACUUCCCCAUGUAAUACUUCCUUUGGCUUGCAUUUUCCUUGCUCUUGCUCCACACUAUGGGCUGGGUACAGUAUAAAUGAAGAUGCUGGGAGAUAGCUACACAGUUUUGGAGGGUGCCCACUCAUAAAUAACUUGAUGCAAGAUGAAGAUUUCAUUUUGGAUGUUUAAAACUGAGUUCUUCAAGACUUGUUUUGUAUGUAAAUACAAGGAAGCCUAUACAAGAAAGCACCACAAAUAAAACCCUUCUUUUAACUGU